rnacentral:lncRNA from 1 species
AAAAGCUCAAAGCAUUUGGUGCUUAUAAGUUUUUCGCCGUUAGAUUUAUCCCUUUGACCGUUUUCACCCGUUAGAUCAUACUAUUCAACUAACCACCUAUUCAAUCCUAUAAAACCACUAUCAUUCUAAACGCACAUCCCUUAAUCUAAGGGCCGAAAACCUACAAACACCAAUAAUUUGAUAUUUUUACAAGUAUAGGAGUUCAAUUCUCCCUCUCUCUCUCUCUCUCUCUCUCUCUCUCUC